rnacentral:snoRNA from 2 species
AGCUAAAUGAUGAAGUAAUUUUUUUUGUCUGAAAUUGAUGUGGAUCUCUUGUUUCAUACAUACCUUCAAAGUUCUCUGAUAGCU